rnacentral:lncRNA from 1 species
AUGGCACGUCUCAACAGGCAUGGAAAACAUACCUCGCCGCUCCGAGGGACUGAUUCUGCAGGUACGGGACUGAGCAGAGGAUCAGACUGUUAUCACACAGCUAACUCUCCCGUUGCAGACAAUAUUACACAGAUCGGACACCUUGUACACCUCACACACACAGAGGAUCAUGGCAGGAGUACUGAAGGCUGUCCUGUUGCUGUGGGUCCCCAGGUCUCUGCCCAGGACCCAGAAUACGACCACCUGUUAGUGAGGCCCAGGAACAUCAGUGAUGAAAUGGACGACUGCCCCAUCAAUGUGUACUUCUCAUGGACACCUCUGAGAGUGUUGCUCUGAGGGAGUCCCCUGGGGCAGUCUGGUGGAUGAGCUCAAGGAGUCAUCCAGAUUUUUGUGGAGAGCGCCAGGCCACCUCCCUCAGGGCCAGAGGGGCCCAGUGGGCCUACGGUGGGCUGCACUUCUCAGACCGUGUGGAAGUCUUCAGCAGGUGGUCACUGAUGCUGCAGAUUUCCUGGGAAGGGCACAGGCCAUCGGGUACAUUACUCAGUCAGCCAGCCAGACACUGUCAGUCAGUCCCUCCUCAUAUUACUUGCUUACUUACUUACUG